rnacentral:rRNA from 1 species
UACGUAGGGGGCAAGCGUUGUCCGGAUUUAUUGGGCGUAAAGAGCGUGUAGGCGGUUUGGUAGGUCCGCUGUGAAAACUCGAGGCUCAACCUCGAGACGCCGGUGGAAACCAUCAGACUAGAGUCCGGAAGAGGAGAGUGGAAUUCCUGGUGUAGCGGUGAAAUGCGCAGAUAUCAGGAAGAACACCCGUGGCGAAGGCGGCCUGCUGGGCUAUGGCUGACACUGAGGCGCGACAGCGUGGGGAGCAAACAGG